GAUGAACGCUGGCGGCGUGCCUAAUACAUGCAAGUCGAGCGAACAGACGAGGAGCUUGCUCCUCUGACGUUAGCGGCGGACGGGUGAGUAACACGUGGAUAACCUACCUAUAAGACUGGGAUAACUUCGGGAAACCGGAGCUAAUACCGGAUAAUAUAUUGAACCGCAUGGUUCAAUAGUGAAAGACGGUUUUGCUGUCACUUAUAGAUGGAUCCGCGCCGCAUUAGCUAGUUGGUAAGGUAACGGCUUACCAAGGCGACGAUGCGUAGCCGACCUGAGAGGGUGAUCGGCCACACAGGAACUGAGACACGGUCCAGACUCCUACGGGAGGCAGCAGUAGGUAAUCUUCCGCAAUGGGCGAAAGCCUGACGGAGCGACGCCGCGUGAGUGAUGAAGGUCUUCGGAUCGUAAAACUCUGUUAUUAGGGAAGAACAAAUGUGUAAGUAACUAUGCACGUCUUGACGGUACCUAAUCAGAAAGCCACGGCUAACUACGUG
rnacentral:rRNA from 1 species